rnacentral:rRNA from 1 species
AAGCUUGCUUUCUUGCUGACGAGUGGCGGACGGGUGAGUAAUGCUUGGGAAUCUGGCUUAUGGAGGGGGAUAACGACGGGAAACUGUCGCUAAUACCGCGUAUUAUCGGAAGAUGAAAGUGCGGGACUGAGAGGCCGCAUGCCAUAGGAUGAGCCCAAGUGGGAUUAGGUAGUUGGUGGGGUAAAUGCCUACCAAGCCUGCGAUCUCUAGCUGGUCUGAGAGGAUGACCAGCCACACUGGAACUGAGACACGGUCCAGACUCCUACGGGAGGCAGCAGUGGGGAAUAUUGCGCAAUGGGGGGAACCCUGACGCAGCCAUGCCGCGUGAAUGAAGAAGGCCUUCGGGUUGUAAAGUUCUUUCGGUAUUGAGGAAGGUUGAUGUGUUAAUAGCACAUCAAAUUGACGUUAAAUACAGAAGAAGCACCGGCUAACUCCGUGCCAGCAGCCGCGGUAAUACGGAGGGUGCGAGCGUUAAUCGGAAUAACUGGGCGUAAAGGGCACGCAGGCGGUUAUUUAAGUGAGGUGUGAAAGCCCUGGGCUUAACCUAGGAAUUGCAUUUCAGACUGGGUAACUAGAGUACUUUAGGGAGGGGUAGAAUUCCACGUGUAGCGGUGAAAUGCGUAGAGAUGUGGAGGAAUACCGAAGGCGAAGGCAGCCCCUUGGGAAUGUACUGACGCUCAUGUGCGAAAGCGUGGGGAGCAAACAGGAUUAGAUACCCUGGUAGUCCACGCUGUAAACGCUGUCGAUUUGGGGGUUGGGGUUUAACUCUGGCG